UUUGAAAAAACAGUAAAAGUUUCUACAUACUUUUUGGUUAAAAUUGUUUUGGGAAUUGCUCUUUCAUUUUCAUUGUUAGAAGAACUUAAAGAUUUCAAGGAUUUUCCAGUUCAUCUGUGCUUAAAGAUGGUUUAGAAGGCGCUGAAAUUUGCUCUUGAUGUGGUGAUUUGUCUACAUUUCUGAUUUGCUGAAAUCCCCACCCCCUUUUGCUUUGUUUUGAUAUCCAGAUACUCCUUGGACCAUGAAUAAUAUACGACGUACAAGUUUGAAAUAUG
rnacentral:lncRNA from 1 species